rnacentral:tRNA from 1 species
GAGGGUUUUGAUCUAUUGCUGCUAACGAUGGUUUGAAUGUUUUGUUGCGUUCAACCCUCU